CACGGGGGAUGCGAGCGUUAUCCGGAUUUAUUGGGUUUAAAGGGCGCGUAGGCGGGAUGCCAAGUCAGCGGUAAAAGACUGCAGCUAAACUGUAGCACGCCGUUGAAACUGGUGACCUCGAGACGAGUCGAGGAUGGCGGAACAAGUGAAGUAGCGGUGAAAUGCUUAGAUAUCACUUGGAACCCCGAUAGCGAAGGCAGCUGUCCAGACUCGAUCUGACGCUGAUGCGCGAGAGCGUGGGUAGCGAACAGG
rnacentral:rRNA from 1 species